AUUGAACGCUGGCGGCAGGCCUAACACAUGCAAGUCGAGCGGAUGAAGGGAGCUUGCUCCUGGAUUCAGCGGCGGACGGGUGAGUAAUGCCUAGGAAUCUGCCUGGUAGUGGGGGAUAACGUCCGGAAACGGGCGCUAAUACCGCAUUCGUCCUGAGGGAGAAAGUGGGGGAUCUUCGGACCUCACGCUAUCAGAUGAGCCUAGGUCGGAUUAGCUAGUUGGUGGGGUAAAGGCCUACCAAGGCGACGAUCCGUAACUGGUCUGAGAGGAUGAUCAGUCACACUGGAACUGAGACACGGUCCAGACUCCUACGGGAGGCAGCAGUGGGGAAUAUUGGACAAUGGGCGAAAGCCUGAUCCAGCCAUGCCGCGUGUGUGAAGAAGGUCUUCGGAUUGUAAAGCACUUUAAGUUGGGAGGAAGGGCAGUAAGUUAAUACCUUGCUGUUUUGACGCUACCAACAGAAUAAGCACCGGCUAACUUCGUG
rnacentral:rRNA from 1 species